GCCCUUUGAAGAAGAGGCAAGUUCGGUCAUGAUGAAGAAGAAUCGAGGCGUACCACCUUUUAACAAUAGGGAGCAGCUCGAGGCUGCAAAGAGGUACUGAUCAUUGAGGUGACUUUAUGAAAAGAUAACUCCAAAAUAACACACACCAGAAUAGGGGAGUUCCUGUCUUACUGAGCAGUAUACACUAUGGAGAGAUUCUUCAAAACCUGUCGGGACGAAUAACAGAAGA